UGGGGAAUAUUGCACAAUGGGCGAAAGCCUGAUGCAGCAACGCCGCGUGAGUGAUGAAGGCCUUCGGGUUGUAAAGCUCUGUCUUCUGGGACGAUAAUGACGGUACCAGAGGAGGAAGCCACGGCUAACUACGUGCCAGCAGCCGCGGUAAUACGUAGGUGGCAAGCGUUGUCCGGAUUUACUGGGCGUAAAGGAUGCGUAGGCGGAUACUUAAGUCAGAUGUGAAAAUCCCGGGCUUAACUUGGGAACUGCAUUUGAAACUGGGUAUCUAGAGAGCGGGAGAGGAAAGUGGAAUUCCUAGUGGAGCGGUGAAAUGCGUAGAUAUUAGGAAGAACACCAGUGGCGAAGGCGACUUUCUGGACCGUAACUGACGCUGAGGCAUGAAAGCGUGGGGAGCAAACA
rnacentral:rRNA from 1 species